rnacentral:snRNA from 1 species
GUGCUUGCUUCAGCAGCACAUAUACUAAAAUUGGAAGGAUAUAGAGAAGAUUAGCAUGGCCCCUGUGCAAGGAUGACAUGCAAAUUCAUGAAGUAUUCUAUAUUUAA